UUGUCAGUAAAACAAAUGUGUAAUUUAUAGUGGUGUCAACAAUAAUCGAUUCGGCAAUGCAUCGCAAUGCGGGGCAUGCACGAUUCAGCAUCGAUACGGCA